UUUCAAUAGAGGCAAUAGAGGGUUCAAAAAGGAAAAGUUAAUGAUAUUGUGAACUGAUUUUAUGAUGAUGUCAUUUUAUUGAUUGGAUGAAGAAAUGAGUUUCUUAGAAACAUUAAAAUGCAGUGAAAGUUAUUCUCAAAAUUAUUUUUUAGGCAAUGACUAUGAAAUUAUAAAUAUAUAUCUUAUAAAUUUUUAACUAAGUUCUUGAAAUUUGUUUACAGUUGUCCAAGAGCACAAUGCGUAUGCUCUUAAUGUUUGGCGUCGUGUGAAAGUUAAACUAGAAGGGAGGGACCUUGAGCCCUCGAGAAGAGCGUCAGUGGCGGAACAGGUGGACUACACCAUCAGGGAAGCCACAAACUUGGAUAACUUGGCAACCUUGUACGAAGGAUGGACACCAUGGGUGUAAAGAACCAAGAAAAGAAUACUAUUUUGAAAUAUUUUGUUGUCGCCCAUGUCUUCAGUGUACAAUUAUGACUAAUUUGGUACCAUCACUUUUUCUUCUGCCUGGUGAUUCAAUUCUCACUUACUCUGUGAUACUUUGAAUGUGAAAGCAGAUUUCCUAAAUGUCUAAUGCACUGUGUUGUUCAUUAGAAUUGUUACAUUGCCCAAUUCAUAUAUAAUUAAUAAAUAUAUGGUCUAUUCCUUGCAUUUAUAGUUUGUUUACAUAUUAAUUGUGUAUUAAUUCAAAUGAAAAUUUUAUUUUAAAUAUAAUAUGCUUUGUCACAUCAGAUAUGGUUUUCAUGACAACCAUUAAAUAUAACAAUAUAGACCAACAUGCCUUCAGAUGUAAAGUAAAUGUCUAUAGUAGCUAAUUCGGCGAAGAACAAACUUGUCAAAAUUCCAUAUAAUUUGCCUUUAUAUACACAGCACAUGUAUAUUUUCUUUUUUGUAAAGGAUGAUAAUGGUAAUGAAAAACAAAAUAAGCAUUUUUUUUUUUCUCAAAAAGUAAAACAAUUAUUACAACAAGUACUACAAUAACGAGAAA
rnacentral:lncRNA from 1 species